rnacentral:rRNA from 1 species
UACAGAGGUGGCAAGCGUUGUUCGGAAUUACUGGGCGUAAAGGGCGCGUAGGCGGCCUUCUAAGUCAGACGUGAAAUCCCCCCGGCUUAACCUGGGAACUGCGUCUGAUACUGGGAGGCUUGAGUAUGGGAGAGGGAUGUAGAAUUCCCGGUGUAGAGGUGAAAUUCGUAGAUAUCGGGAGGAACACCAGUGGCGAAGGCGACUACCUGGCCUGUUCUUGACGCUGAGGCGCGAAAGCUAGGGGAGCAAACGGG